UAUCAAUUUCAAUACCAUAUUGAUAAGUACGAUCAUCAUCUACUAAGUUAUACAAAUUAGAAAUUGGUGCUUCACAAAUAUAUAAGAACCUAUCUCUACCAGUUACUUUUUCCAGUCCCCAUCGUUGUAAAUUAUUAUGAUAAGAAUACACUAAAUAAUCUUCUCCAAGUGUAUUAUCAACUGGUUCAGUAUACCAUUUACGGUGUUGUGGAUCUUGCCAUAAUAAAUGAUAUAAUAUAAAUCCAUGUUCUUCUAAGGAAUUAAUUGUAAUAAGAUCACUCCGAUAAGCUUCACAAUUUUUUUUAGCUUCUUGUCUGUCCCUAAUAGGACUCUUUAUGAAACGGUAACAUGAUUCUUGAAAUUUUAUCCAAUGUUGUGGACACUGAUUUUGUUCUCCAUAUAAGACAUUUUGUGCAAAUGUAUAACUUGUUACAAUAAGAAUGUAUGUUAUAAUCUCUGAUACACAAUACAUUAUUAAUUCAAUAUAAUUGAAAGAUUAUAAAUUUAUCAAAUUAAUGGUAAUCUGAAA
rnacentral:misc_RNA from 1 species